UCAGUCUAUAAUCGGCUGGCUCCAAGGGAGGGUGGCACGGCAGAGGGCAUCGCAGAGGAGAAGCCGUCCAUGGCAUGGAAGGUGGAAGGCAGGAGGCAGCAAAAGCAGCAAGGCAGGAAGGGAAGGCAGCAGUUGAUUUUCUGUCCCUUAUGUUCCAUCUAGGCUACACACCCUUGGGGCAGGUAGCAGUCACACCCAGGGAGGGCCUUCCCAUUAUCCACACCCAGAACCAUGCCAGACUGAUCAGUGGACUCAUUUAGUAAUCACACACCCCUGAUCCCAGCAUCACACACGCUAGAUCCAGCCACCUCUGAAAAGCCCCACCUAUGACCCCAUGAGGCUUUAGGGGACAUCUAGACACAAGUCAUAACACCGUGAGGUCCCUGAAGAUCACACUUAGGAUUCUGUAUUAUGGCCAUGUGUGACAUGACACCUGGGUCCUCCUUUCUGUCGGUACCUGGUGGAUCUGGGCCAGGAGGUUACAGCUUUAUCAAAUCAUCUGGGAGCUUUCUGCUUCCCUGGAGCCCGAGGGCCAGGCAUGGGGCUCUGCCCUGGUCCCAGCCUGGCCCUCACUGGUGGUCUUCCGCACCCAGUGGCUGCCUCUGUGUCUUGAUGGCUUUUGUUUUCCUCCAUGAGCCAGUCUGCCCAGGAGUCGUCGGCCUCCUCAAUUUGCAGCUGCUUUGCAGGUAACUUCAUCCCUGUCCUGCCCAGUCAGUCCCUUCUUAAUCUCCCAUGCAGUAGUCUGGCUCUGUUCCCUUCCCCAGGCUGGGGAGAAGCUUAGCUCUAACACAGCCUUUACAAGCAGCCAGUUUUUGGUUUGUCCUCUCUUUCCGAAGACUUUUGGUGUUCUGAUUCAUCUUGCAUUUGUAGGCAUCUUCCUGAAACCCAGGCAUUGAGCAAGGCUGGGUGGGUCCCAUCUAGUGUGCAGCCUGCUUGAACUGGAGCUAGGCCAUGUGACUGCCCUUCCACAGCCACCUCUUGGGUCCUGCUGUGCCCAUCCUGAGCUUCCAACCUCACGGAGAUGCACCUAGGUGCUCACGCCAGGACCAGGGUCUUGCUGGCCUGGAAAGUGAAACCCUUCCUCCUCAGCCUCCUGCGCAGGUAGGAUUACAGGUAUACUUCACUGCCCUUUAAGGUAGAUACUGCGGGUCAAACCCAGGCUUUACAAACGUUAGGCAGGAGAUGUAACACUGAGCUACACCCCAGCCCUCUGCUUGCUUUUUAAAAACACCACUUCUCAUAGCGUUUCUUGUUAUUCGACACAGCACAUUUGUUGCCUACAUUACAUUUAUAUUAGAGGUCCCGGUCUAGAAAGAAUAACCAUAGCAAUCACAGUGUGUCAGGAGCAAUGCUACAUAAUUUUGGGGAAAAACCGUUUGAUUAGGCCUAGUUCUCCUGCCUACAGCCCAGCUAUGGAAUUCCAAGACAUAAUUCCAUUUUGUCCUCCGCUCCCAACUGAGACCUCAAUGAUCCGGUGAUGCUGUGAUUCUCCAGGACAGGAAACAUCCUGGGAG